rnacentral:rRNA from 1 species
AUUGAACGCUGGCGGCAGGCCUAACACAUGCAAGUCGAGCGAGCGGCGGGCGGGUGCGUAAUGUCUGGGAACCUGCCUGUUGUGGAGGGAUACCUACUGGAAACGGUAGCUAAUCCCGCAUACCAUCAGAUGUGCCCCGAUGGGAUUAGCUAGUAGGUGGGGUAACGGCGCACCAAGGCGACUAUCCCUAGCCGGUCUGUGAGGAUAACCAGCAACACUGGAACUGAGACAAGGUCCAGACGCCUACGGGAGGCAGCAGUGGGGAAUAUGGGACAAUGGGCGAAAGCCGGAUGCAGCAAUGCCGCGUGUGUGAAGAAGGCCUUCGGGUUGUAAAGCACGUUCAGCGGGGAGGCGUUACCCGCAGAAGAAGCACCGGCUAACUCCGUGCCAGCAGCCGCGGUAAUUC